CCUACGGGAGGCAGCAGUGGGGAAUCUUAGACAAUGGGGGAAACCCUGAUCUAGCCAUGCCGCGUGAGCGAUGAAGGCCUUAGGGUUGUAAAGCUCUUUCGUGGGGAAGAUAAUGACGGUACCCCAAGAAGAAGCCCCGGCUAACUCCGUGCCAGCAGCCGCGGUAAUACGGAGGGGCUAGCGUUGUUCGGAAUUACUGGGCGUAAAGCGCACGUAGGCGGAUUGGAAAGUCAGAGGUGAAAUCCCAGGGCUCAACCUUGGAACUGCCUUUGAAACUCCCAGUCUUGAGGUUCGAGAGAGGUGAGUGGAAUUCCGAGUGUAGAGGUGAAAUUCGUAGAUAUUCGGAGGAACACCAGUGGCGAAGGCGGCUCACUGGCUCGAUACUGACGCUGAGGUGCGAAAGCGUGGGGAGCAAACAGGAUUAGAUACCCGUGGUAGUCCACGCCGUAAACGAUGAAUGCCAGUCGUCGGCAGNANGCUCGUCGGUGACACACCUACGUAGUA
rnacentral:rRNA from 1 species